GCUUUUCUUGAAAACUUGCACCGGUAUCAAAAAAGAAGGGAGAUCUUAUUGGAGGCAUUUCAAAUAACUGCCAGUUGUGAGUCAACGUGCAACUUAGACACACCAGCUCGACAGUAAUAAGAAACCACUUCAAAUCAUCUUCUUGAUUUUUUUUUCAACGAAAGGGAAAAAAAAAACUAAUCAAAAAUGGACGCAAUCAAGAAAAAGAUGCAGGGAAUGAAAUUGGAGAAGGAUAAUGCAAUGGAUCGUGCUCUGUUGUGUGAACAACAAGCCCGUGAUGCCAAUGCACGCGCCGAAAAGGCCGAGGAGGAAGCUCGUUCACUCCAAAAAAAGAUUCAAACAAUUGAAAAUGAUCUUGACCAGACCCAGGAAGCCCUUAUGCAAGUAAAUGCUAAACUUGAAGAAAAAGACAAGGCCCUCCAAAAUGCUGAAUCUGAGGUUGCAGCCCUCAAUCGUCGCAUCCAGCUCCUUGAAGAAGAUCUUGAAAGAUCUGAGGAGAGACUUGCAACUGCUACUGCCAAAUUGGCUGAAGCAUCCCAAGCUGCUGAUGAGAGUGAACGCGCCCGCAAGAUUCUCGAGAACCGCAGUUUGGCAGACGAAGAACGUAUGGAUGCACUUGAAAAUCAACUGAAAGAGGCUAGAUUCCUCGCUGAAGAAGCUGACAAAAAAUACGAUGAGGUUGCUCGUAAAUUGGCCAUGGUUGAAGCCGAUCUUGAGCGUGCUGAAGAACGUGCUGAGGCUGGAGAAUCUAAAAUCGUUGAAUUGGAAGAGGAACUCCGUGUUGUUGGCAACAAUUUAAAAUCCCUUGAAGUAUCAGAGGAAAAGGCCAACCAACGUGAAGAGGAAUACAAGAAUCAAAUUAAGACCUUGACAACCCGUCUUAAGGAGGCUGAGGCUCGUGCUGAGUUCGCUGAACGAUCUGUUCAGAAACUCCAGAAAGAGGUCGACAGGCUCGAGGAUGAGAUGUUAGUCGAGAAAGAAAAAUACAAGGAAAUUGGCGAUGGUUUAGAUGUCGCAUUCGAAGAACUCUAUGGAAUUUAAUAAUGCAAAAUUUUUCCCAAUAAAAAAUAAAAUAUUUUUACAUUGCCUAUUUGUUAGAUUUAUUGCUUCUUAUCUAACAAUAAUACACGAGCUCGUCCACGAAAAGGAGAAA
rnacentral:misc_RNA from 1 species